CGGGCCGAACGCCAAGAAGAAGACCUGACGCAAUAAUCGGAACGACCAAGGCGUCAUCCGGGAUGGCAAUUCCGGAUGAUGCUUUGUAUCGUGUCCUGACGAUCCGAUCCCAGUCACAUUGGCUUUUACGCUCAUGAACGCUCAGCGUUUUCUGAAUACCAUCGACGGCAUCAGUACGUUUGCCGGCAAGGCAUCCGCGUGGCUGAUCAUCGGGCUGAUGACACUGGUCUGCGCCGAGGUCUUCAAGCGCUACAUUCUGAACAU
rnacentral:misc_RNA from 1 species